GAACGCUGGCGGCGUGCUUAUCAUCAUGCAAGUCCGAACGGAAAGGCCUUUUCGGAGGUACUCGAGUGGCGAACGGGUGAGUAACACGUGGGUGAUCUGCCCUGCACUCUGGGAUAAGCCUGGGAAACUGGGUCUAAUACCGGAUAGGACCGCACUUUAGUGUGUGUGGUGGAAAGUUUUUUCGGUGUAGGAUGAGCCCGCGGCCUAUCAGCUUGUUGGUGGGGUAAUGGCCUACCAAGGCGGCGACGGGUAGCCGGACUGAGAGGUUGGUCGGCCACAUUGGGACUGAGAUACGGCCCAGACUCCUACGGGAGGCAGCAGUGGGGAAUAUUGCACAAUGGGCGCAAGCCUGAUGCAGCGACGCCGCGUGGGGGAUGACGGCCUUCGGGUUGUAAACUCCUUUCGCCAGGGACGAAGCGUUUUGUGACGGUACCUGGAGAAGAAGCACCGGCUAACUACGUGCCAGCAGCCGCGGUAAUACGUAGGGUGCAAGCGUUGUCCGGAAUUACUGGGCGUAAAGAGCUCGUAGGUGGUUUGUCACGUCGUCUGUGAAAUUCCACAGCUUAACUGUGGGCGUGCAGGCGAUACGGGCUGACUUGAGUACUGUAGGGGUAACUGGAAUUCCUGGUGUAGCGGUGAAAUGCGCAGAUAUCAGGAGGAACACCGAUGGCGAAGGCAGGUUACUGGGCAGUUACUGACGCUGAGGAGCGAAAGCAUGGGUAGCAAACAGGAUUAGAUACCCUGGUAGUCCAUGCCGUAAACGGUGGGCGCUAGGUGUAGGGGCCUUUUGGGGUUUCUGUGCCGUAGCUAACGCAUUAAGCGCCCCGCCUGGGGAGUACGGCCGCAAGGCUA
rnacentral:rRNA from 1 species